AGGACACUUGUGACAGUCUAAUCAUAGGGCACCACCUAAGGUGGCAGCAUAAACACAGUCUGUCCCCAGACUGUAACCAGAUGCUCCUACUUGAGACCAAACAGCAAAUGGGUUAGGCUCCAAGCCAGAAGAGAGCUGGGGGUCCCACCUUCUGUCCUCUCCAUGGUAAUCAAGGUAUGCCUGCCAAAUCUCCACAUAAUCAGUGGCCUGGAUGAAGCCGGCAUUCAAAGCUUUCUCGAAGGUUACUGGAGUUGGAGAAAAGUCAGGAUUUGUUACCAAUUCAAAUGGAAACUAAUAGAAAGUCACUACAUUCUACUGACUAUAAAACACUACAUGACUUUAAAGACUAAUAGAUGCAACAGAAUGAAAUGAGCUAGACAGGAAUGUUGAAGACAGAAGUUGCUACAGCACUCUACAGACUGUGUUCUAGAAAAAACUUCUUCCACAAGACGCCCUGCAAGAAAAGUUCCAGAUCAAGGAAGUUUGGAGAAAACACUACAACUUCUUAGAAAAUACAAUGAAUAUUAGCAUGUUAAAAAGCUCUAAGAAGCCACAAAUAUAACCAGUUCAUCUCUCACUCAGAGCCCUUUUUGUCACUACACUCCAUAACCCAAAGAAAACCCCAGGGAACACUGAUGUAAUGACUUUGUCACCGCUCUCUGUUUUUCACUUGGGACAAAUAGCUUAGAAGUUCUCCCACAAAAACAUCCGCACCAGAAAUUACUUGAUGAUCAACUCCAUGUCUCUCCAUGGCCAAGAGGUACCGACUCCAUAAGGCAACUGUCCAGGGGCAGUUUCUAAUAGCGCGGUUAUGUACAGAUAAAACCAAAUCCUUUACUUUCAGUUGUCGAUCCUAUGAUAAAGAAUUCCAGAGUUAGGAAAUUACACUUUAUUAAGCAUUCACCAUCAACAAGACAUUGCCAGCACGACCAAGUGAUGAAAGAAAUGUCCUUAUAAACAUCUCUUGUGACCUGGUUUCCUCAACAACAACAAAAAAAUCACUAAGGGGAGUGGAGGAGAAGGAGAGGAGCAACUUACAGGUUAAAACAGCCUUAAAAGACGUCAGCCAACCCUACUGGAUAGACCUCAUUUGGAUCCUUUUAUACAGACACACUGAAAUAUUUUAUAUACACAUACUGAAAUAUUUACCAACGAAAUAUCAUUUCUGGAUUUGCUUCAAAGUAACACAGAAGGGACAAGUAGGUGAGACUACAGAUCAAAGUAAACUAAAGCUAUAAAUGUUACUAAUUGUUGAAGCUGGGUGAGGGGUACAGAAGUUUCAUUUUACUGAUCUGUCUACUUUUAUAUGUUUACAUUUUUGCCAUAAUAAAAAGUUAAAAGAAAAAUAUCAAGUUGUUAUAAGUCCUCAACACAGACAAUAUGCUCAUUUUACUUACAGUUAGUGACCAUUUUUAAAUAACUUGAAACACUAAAACUUUCUAAACGAGUUGGCAAAGAGGAGAAAAAGCAGAUGGAGGAAAAGCAAGAGUAGGGCCGUAUGCAACAAACUCCUGGCACUCUUACUGAUUUUAAGUAGAUUCUAAAUUGGCAAAAAUAAAAUGAAAUUAGAACAGUGAUCUUACUAGGUACUGACUGUAACGGAUCCAUAAGUCUGGGACAAGGCAGUUCUCGACCAGGGCGCGCUCAAAGAUCAACUGAAUGCGAGCAGGAUCGCCAAUUUUCAUCUCAAAAUCGAUAUAUGCUUGAUAUUCUGCCAGCCUUGGUGCCUCUGCCUGCAACUGGAGUACAGGAAAAUUGUAUUGAAUUUAGUUACUGGCAGGAAGCACAACACAUCUGCAAAUAAAAUAAAUUUUGGCAAAACUGGCUACAGUAACUAUGAAUCGCCAAAUCCUCACUCUCAGAACCACUCCACUAUGGCCUCUACAACUUCUUGAGCAAAACAAGAGUCUUCUCAUCUGGUCCAAAGUGCCAGUUCAUGGCAGUCGCUACAAAGGCUCCAUAAACUCUUUUCUAAAUCCAUUCCUAGACCACAGGGAAUUAAGUAGCCCAUCAAUCAGGAACUGAGUGAAAGAGCAACACCUUUGCCAGUGACCACUGUCAACCACCCUUCCAAACCAGAAGUCAUGUUCUUGGGCUACUGAGUAGAGUUAAUACAACCAAACUGGAAAAUUUUGGUGCCUGAUGCUAUUUCAGGUUUCUUAUUCCAAAUAUCAGUUCCUGGAAGAAUGUAGAUAAAUGCAGAAGAUGAAGGCAGCUGUGCUGAAUGUUUAAUGAUCCAAAGACAUACAAUCAAAUUCUUUUUAGAAAAAAAUCUUAUUCGACAUGUUUUCUCUUCAGGCACAUUUUGCUGAUGGCCAUGACAUAAUUGAAUGAUCGAAGUUUUGGGAAGCACAGGUACAUGCAAAUCAUUUACACAUGAAAAAGAAA
ensembl:lncRNA novel transcript, antisense to SART3